GCUGUGAAAGUAGCUUGCUACUUUGCCGGCGAGCGGCGGACGGGUGAGUAAUGUCUGGGGAUCUGCCUGAUGGUGGGGGAUAACUACUGGAAACGGUAGCUAAUACCGCAUAACGUCGCAAGACCAAAGUGGGGGACCUUCGGGCCUCACGCCAUCGGAUGAACCCAGAUGGGAUUAGCUAGUAGGUGAGGUAAUGGCUCACCUAGGCGACGAUCCCUAGCUGGUCUGAGAGGAUGACCAGCCACACUGGAACUGAGACACGGUCCAGACUCCUACGGGAGGCAGCAGUGGGGAAUAUUGCACAAUGGGCGCAAGCCUGAUGCAGCCAUGCCGCGUGUGUGAAGAAGGCCUUCGGGUUGUAAAGCACUUUCAGCGAGGAGGAAGGUGUUCGUGUUAAUAGCACGGACAAUUGACGUUACUCGCAGAAGAAGCACCGGCUAACUCCGUGCCAGCAGCCGCGGUAAUACGGAGGGUGCGAGCGUUAAUCGGAAUUACUGGGCGUAAAGCGUACGCAGGCGGUUUGUUAAGUCAGAUGUGAAAUCCCCGAGCUUAACUCGGGAACUGCAUUUGAAACUGGCAAGCUAGAGUCUCGUAGAGGGGGGUAGAAUUCCAGGUGUAGCGGUGAAAUGCGUAGAGAUCUGGAGGAAUACCGGUGGCGAAGGCGGCCCCCUGGACGAAGACUGACGCUCAGGUACGAAAGCGUGGGGAGCAAACAGGAUUAGAUACCCUGGUAGUCCACGCUGUAAACGAUGUCGAUUUGAAGGUUGUGGCCUUGAGCCGUGGCUUUCGGAGCUAACGCGUUAAAUCGACCGC
rnacentral:rRNA from 1 species